GAGGUGAUGGCUCGGCGUUGCGAACAUCAAUAUCCGGCCUGAGAGGGCGGACGGACACCCUGGGGCUGGCGCCCGGUGCAAACUCCUACGGGAGGGUGUCUCGGGGAAUUGUUCGGAAUGGGCGCCAGCCUGACGACGCACCGCCGCCCGCACGAGGAAGAUCUUCGGGUCGGAAACUCCUGUCCAACGGGAC
rnacentral:rRNA from 1 species